AUGUAUGUGCUUGGUGAGAAAGAAGUCCUUUUAGGUUAUAGGGAAGGGGAUAGUGUAAGGUUCCUCUCUAUUGCCAAGAAGUAAAAAAGACAAAAUUCCACCAGAAGGUAUAUCCUGAAGAUAUGAUCAAUCAGUCCAAUGGGCACCUGAAGGCCUGGAGAGCGGCUUUCCCUCUAUUAGAAAACAAGAAUGGAAGUCCAUAUAAAUUAGGGGGAAAGGAGAAAGCUCAAGCGCGUGGCACAAAACAGUGGGUUCCUGAUCUUGUCUUCCUUCAGGCUAAAGCUUCAAGUCUCAAUCCGAAGUCAAAGAGAACUAUUCAACAACAUCCCUCUUUUCUACAUACAUUCCUGGGGUUUUUGGUUGCUUGGUUUUCUUAA